rnacentral:rRNA from 1 species
CAGUCGCCACGGUAAUACGUAGGGUGCAAGCGUUAAUCGGAAUUACUGGGCGUAAAGCGUGCGCAGGCGGUUAUAUAAGUCAGAUGUGAAAUCCCCGGGCUCAACCUGGGAACUGCAUUUGAGACUGUAUGGCUAGAGUGUGUCAGAGGGGGGUAGAAUUCCACGUGUAGCAGUGAAAUGCGUAGAGAUCGGGAGGAACAUCAGUGGCGAAGGCGGCCAUCUGGGACAACACUGACGCUGAGGCACGAAAGCGUGGGGAGCAAACAGGAUUAGAUACCCCCGUAGUCCCUGUCUCUUAUAC